CAAAAAUCACUUGUAAAGUUUCAUGGUGUUUUUUCUGACCGCCGCGACCCGAGAGACAAACCCGACCGGAGCGACGCCGUCCGGAUACCGAUCGACGACUCACGACCACCGAUUUCUUGCUCUCGUCGUCACGGUCACGCCUGUGGUCUUCGAUUGUCCAUGCAUCGGACGAGGAGGGAGAAAAGUCAGUGAGAAGGUCUGAGUCUUCCCGGCGAGUUUCUGCACUUUCCGGCCACCGUCUGGGCCGCCUUCGGCUAACAAUCGAAGAGCUUUCUGGUUGUUGGCAUCACACUCAUCAGUUCAUCACCCAUUUCCGUCUCGGCAGUGAGUUCUGGGAACUGAGUUGGGUUGAUUCAGGUUGAUUUCCGGUUUCGAAGGUAUAAUCUCGACCUAGAAUCACGUUUUGUUCCUGUGUUGGUGAUCGAAAGUUAUCGAAUUAAGCAACUGAAGAACGUACGGUCUUUCAAACUAUUUGUUGCCCUUUUGUCCAAAUCGGUGGUUUAUCGUCUCUGAAAUUGAACGAUCAGCUUCUUCAGCAGGUUUUUGCACCUUUUAUGGAUAUGCUGUCCGCAUCAGUGUCCAUGUUAUCAUGGCUGCCCUUUCUACGAUGGCCAAUCCUGAGGAAAUCUAAUAAAUGAACAUGAAGGUUUGUGCAGAAAGAUCAGAAAAGCACAAAAAUGUUCAUGUGGACUGUGAACUGUGAACUGUGAACACUGGGCGAGUUAGUAAAUUUGUGCAUGAGGUAUUUGAAUGAAAAUUUGUAUACGGUUGUAGAUUUCUGAUACAUUAUAUACUCAAAUCAUUUUUGCUUGAGCUAGAUUUUAGUAUUCUGGUGUUGCAUUUUAGUUUAGCUUUGACUUUGAAUUUUUCCUAUGUUUUUUCCUUCCCAGAGAUAUGUACUCAUAGAAAUGAAAAAUAAAAUAAAAAAUCAAGAGUUGUGCUAAAAACAAACAGAAAUAACUAUGACAGAGUAAGGCUAGUUUAAAGGUUUACCAAUCCUCCAAAAGGUUGUACCUCUAUAGUUGAUGAUUCUGCAGUGGACUGUGUUUGAUGAGUGAUUUGCUUCAUUGAUUUAAUGAUUCCGGGUAGACUUAAUUACUACUUGUUGAUGGGAACGGAGUGUUUCUCAUUUUUCUCUUUGAUUACCAGCCCUUUCAUUUCAUUAUCAGUCAGGUCAUUACAGUUUCUAUUCUUAGUGGGUUUCUAUUAGUUUUUUCUAUUUAAUCAGAAAGAAUCAGAAUUACGGGGUUUUCUCAGUGAUUGAUGUAACUUUUUGCUUUUGUAUCUUGUUGACAUGUAGCUCCUAUGCUAAUGAAUUGCUCGACUUUCACAUAUUAGCCCUGAGCCCUGUAUUACUAAUCCAAAGAUUUUCGCAUCCUAUAAUAGGAUUCAAAGGCAAGUUCAGUCCUAACCACUUUACAAGCAUGCACAUGUAUGCAAGACAUACCUGAUUGAUGAGAGUGGUACGUGAAGCUUAAAGCAUUCCAUUCUUUCAAGGAUCCAAGAGUAGAAAGCUAUUACAAGAAACAUGACUCUUGGUUGCUGCGCUUAGGAAAUGCCAAUCAAAAUAAACAUUGCACUAACAAUCUCCCCCUUUGGCAUUUCCUAGGCUAAAAAACAUAUACAUUUAAUCAUACACAAUAGUUGAUCCUAUACUACCAUGACCCAUGAAAUAUGCACUUCCAAGUUGUAUUCUGUACACAAGAAACAUAACACCCGUGAAGAACAAGUAUGGUUGAAGUAAUGUAAGCAUAAGCAUAUGGAACAUUAAGAACAUUAAA